UAUUAUUUUAUAAUAAUACAUUAUUAUUUUAUAUUUUUAAGGAAAUAUAAAAAAUAAAUAGGUUCCCAAAAUAAUUUGUAAAAAAUAGGUCCAUACAACGGAAUAAAAAUUACUUUUACAAUACCACCUACUUUAAAAUCAAAUUGUUUCUAAGUACAUUUCAUUAAAGCAUACAUCCAUGUAUAUGUCUGCUUACUGUAUGCAAAAGCAUCUAUGACAAAAAGUCUGAGCCACAUCCUAAUGUGCAGUCAGCAUCAUGACUAACCUCAGUAGGGACAAGCCACAUAGACCGAGACGGCGAGCCCAAGGGAACAUAGCCUGUCUCUGUCUCUACCAGACUGGGGGAGGUGGAGGUCUGGAGGAGGGGGUCUCUGGGAGGCAAUAAGUAGCAGCUUAUAAAAUAAGCAAACACAUUUGAGGCAGCACCCAGACAGGCCAGGCUGCACAGCAGACGACAUCCCCCCUCUGACCUUGACCCUUAGGGUCCUUCUUCACCUGCUCCUGAAUGGAAGUCAGUGCAGCUGGGCUGUCUAGCCAUUUGCCUGACUGGAUCCCCCCAUAAUUUUCCCCCCGUUCCCACGCUUGGUUACCAUCCCCCUCUUUUGGGGUUGCUCUGAGACUGAAUGGUCAAAUAUCAUUUUUGUGUGGUGAAUUGUGACUGGCUGCUUCUGAUGUCUGAUGAUACAGCUCAAUCAUCAAACAUGUGCUUUCUAUUUGCCUUCUGUUUUAGCCUGUUUCUUCUUUCCUUUCUUUCACACUAUUCUUCCCGUUGGUUGUAGAUUUCCCCCUUUAAUCACCCCACAAUUAUUACCCUUUCAGAUGUAGCAGUUAUUUCAGCUGUUGGUUGAUUUUUCUCUCCAUUUUUUGUAGAAAAAAGCAUAGACAGGGGAGUUGGUGUAUAGUGUGUGUUAAGUGAAGCUUUGUGCUGAUGCUGGGGCUAAUGUUACGAGUUAAGCAACAUGCUGGGCUGUAAGGUGUGUGUUCGGUCCUGAUCAGUGUUUGUAUGUGAGUGUGUGUGUGAGUGUGUGUGUGUGUGUGUGAGUGUGUGUGUGUGUGUGUGUGAAGAAACUGGCAACUGUAAUCUGAGCUAUUAGUCUGAUGCUUUCCCUCUAGCCAGUCACAGCAUCUGGUCCUAUUAUAAAAAUCAGCAAAGCGCUGGUGGAGUUCAUAAACAUAAUCCUGUUUACCAAUAACCUGCUAUAUCCCCAACCCCAAAGGUCCACCAAGUUUGGGAUAUUUUGCAAUUACCAGUAUAUAGGUAAACCCCCCCUAAAAUAACAAAAACUGUGCAAUAGAGACAGUCAAACUCUUGCUUCACUGCCUUAGCUGUGCCGGCGCCGACAGAGAUGGCCGCCUC
rnacentral:lncRNA from 1 species